rnacentral:lncRNA from 1 species
CCAGAACCUCAUCCCAUGGAUAAAUUGAGUUGGAUAUCGUUGGGGUAUUGUUUCAUGACUGGAAUCGAAAUGAAUGGGCUUUACGCGCAAGUGCAAGAUCCAAUAAACAUCACCUCAAGAGUCCAGAUUGUAUUGUAUCUCACAAUGAUAGCGCUAUGUAGCUUAAUUGCAACAAAUGCCAUCUUCGCCAGCGGGCACCCAAGGGCGGCAUUUUUCAUGGAUCGGGCUGGUGUAAGUAUUGUGUUGGUGUCUUGUCAUUGCGGCUACCCCCGGUGUAAACAUAUUAUACUCUACGGCGUGUUUACUUCUUCUGAUAUCGGCAUAUCUUCUUUAACUUAGUCUAAUAUAUAGGACCCCCUAAGGAACACAUGAAAUGUCUGUUUAGUUAAACAAUUAAAGAUGUGUCUAGUAUGCUGCCAG